rnacentral:lncRNA from 1 species
AUCUUAAUAAUUUAGUCACACUUUGUGUAUUGGUAUGGAGGAGGUCAUUUCCAUGAAAGAUAUUGUAGAUUGCCAUUUGCUUUCUCAGUUCUUUUCAUCUGAUCCCCAUUUCAUCUUUUCACAUCCUCUCUGUACAUUAGAAUGAUCCAUAUGCUCUUUUAAAAAACUUUUUUUCUGUGGGACUGUGGUUUGAACUCAGGGCUUUGUGCUUGCAAAGCAGGUGCUCUAUUACUUGAGCCACAUCUCCAGUCCAUUUUGCUCUGGUUUUUUUGGAGAUGGGGGUCUCAUGAUCUAAUUUGCCCAGGACUCCAACCUCAAUCUUCCCAAUAUCAGCCUCCCAUAUAGCUAGGAUUACAGGUGUGAACCACUGGUGCCCAGCCCAUAUGCUUUUAAUAAAUAGUAUUGUCUGUGUCCCACUCCAGGUAGUUGGAACAGAGUUUCUGGGGCAAGGGCUAGGACAUGGGUAUUUUUAUAACCACAGUUGAGGUGUUGCUAAUAUAUACCCAAAGUUGAGAACCAUGACUUAGUUUUGGUACUUGUAAGAUCUGAUAGCUUAAGUUUUUGCUCAGUUCAAUAGAUAUUCAUUUCUCCAAAAAGCUACUUACAGAAAUCGUAAUUUAGAACAAAGACUUGUAUACAGUAUCUUCGAUUGUUAAUUGGAUGUCCUUGCUAUUUCAUUACUUAGAAUUGUAUAGUUUUCAGUGUGCUUAUUUUCUCCUAUAUCCAAUGUACUUCCCUUGACAAGUGGAGCUCUCGUAGCAUCUAGCAUAAUACCAUAUAUUUCACAGUGGAUACUCUUUAGAGACUUGGAGCUUUUAACUUUGAAAUUCUCCUUUAUUUUAGUCCUGAAUAGAAUUACCUAUUCUAAAAUAAAUCAACAACACAUAUACUCCAAAAUGGUUGGAUUCUCCAAAAAUCAAGAUCAUGAUCAAAUUAAUGUCAUGUGAUUAUACUACUCAAAAAUGAAAUUCAGCUCAAUGAUACAGAAGUCAGCAAGACAUUAUGGAUUAUUAUAGAAAAAGUUCCAGGU